GGACUACAAGGGUAUCUAAUCCUGUUUGCUACCCACGCUUUCGUGUCUCAGCGUCAGUUACGGUCCAGAGAGCCGUCUACACCACCGGUGUUCCUCCUGAUAUCUACGCAUUUCACCGCUACACCAGGAAUUCCACUCUCCUCUCCCGCACUCUAGCCUUUCAGUAUUCGGCGCACCCUCCCGGUUAAGCCGGGAGAUUUCACACCAAACUUAAAUGGCCGCCUACACACCCUUUACGCCCAGUAACUCCGAACAACGCUUGCUGCCUACGUAUUACCGCGGCGGCUGGCAC
rnacentral:rRNA from 1 species